AGCACGUGACUCGAAUGGCUGCUACUCCACGCAAACUGGUCUGUUCCAACUUCACUUCGCCCCCUCCUUAUCGCGUCUCGCCCCGCCACCGUGAAGCCGGAGGCAACUCUCAUUAAACGAAGCUUCACAUCCACCGUUCCCGUGAAGCGGCGGAGACCGUCCCGAAAAGGAGCAACUUCUCAUCAGCAGACUUCGUCGCAAACAAACAAUCUCGAGUGGACUUCCACCAACCAAGUGCCCGGUAGGAGGAGUCAACAGGUUUCAGCUGACGGCCCUGACACACACACACACACACACACACAUGCUGAGACGAGGGACCAAGCACGUGGAGAAGACACACACACCAGUCCCAUCAGCCUGAAGUGAGAGGAUAGGAGAAAAGAUAUGGGUAAGGUCUGGUGACGGACUGGACUCUCUGCAGGUGAGGUCUGGUGACGGACUGGACUCUCAGCAGGAUCUCGGCCCUCUGGACUGCAACGCGGCGUGAAGCAGAGCAGAGAGCUUCUCGGACUCUUCUAGAAGCAUCAUGUGAUCCCCACACAUUCCUCCCUCCUGGAAUUCCCUUUGGAUUUGCGUCUGCUCCUUCGCUCCACUCUUCUCUCUCUCCGUGUGAGUGUGAGUGUGAGUGUGUGAGUGUGAGUGUGUGUGUGUGUGUGUGUGGUGUGUGUGUGUGUGUGUGUGCUAGGGUGUUCUGUGUGCUUGCUUUGGUAAACAGCACGCCUCUGGCAAACAGAGAGAGAGAGAGGGGAGAAGAGAGGAGAGGAGUGGAGAGCUUAAAGCUCAAAGCCCUGUCGUUUUCUGCCUGGUCUUAAAGUCAUCGAUUCCUCUGAACUCUGACAGCACACCAAAGCAGGCUAAUCCUCUCCCUCACACUUUAACUGAAACCAGAUUACACACACACACACACACACUCCCUCAAACAUACACCCACACUCACAUUUCCUAAAAUACACUCACAAACAGAAGCCUUUAAGCAUUCUCCCAUACACAACUAUAAAGCACAUACACUCCUAAAUCUGAUUGGGAGCGAAAAGUCUCUCCCUUCCACACACACACACACACACACACACACACACACCCCACCCACGUGCUUCCAUGUUGGGCUAAACAGCUAGCUGGCCUGGUGACGACUCUUCAUCGUUGGACAUCGUUGAGGCCUUGCGCCUGGCCGGUCGUGCGGCACCAUGUCUGGGAAGGGACACCCCCUUCCUGCCCCCCACCUCCCCGGAUUCCCCAUGCCCGCCUACUCCUACUUCUUCCCCCACGUCCUGGGGGGACUGUCCCCCCCCUCGCUGCCUGGACUGCCCCUCAGCGGAUACAGCACACCCUCAC